rnacentral:tRNA from 1 species
GCGCGCAUAGCUCAGUGGGAGAGCGCUUCCUUGACACGGAAGAGGUCCGAAGUUCAACUCUUCGUGCGCGCACCA